rnacentral:rRNA from 1 species
GUGUGUGAAGAAGGCCUUCGGGUUGUAAAGCACUUUCAGCGGGGAGGAAGGCGAUAAGGUUAAUAACCUUGUCGAUUGACGUUACCCGCAGAAGAAGCACCGGCUAACUCCGUGCCAGCAGCCGCGGUAAUACGGAGGGUGCAAGCGUUAAUCGGAAUUACUGGGCGUAAAGCGCACGCAGGCGGUCUGUCAAGUCGGAUGUGAAAUCCCCGGGCUCAACCUGGGAACUGCAUUCGAAACUGGCAGGCUAGAGUCUUGUAGANGGGGGGUAGAAUUCCAGGUGUAGCGGUGAA